AUUGAACGCUGGCGGCAGGCCUAACACAUGCAAGUCGAGCGGAUGAAGGGAGCUUGCUCCUGGAUUCAGCGGCGGACGGGUGAGUAAUGCCUAGGAAUCUGCCUGGUAGUGGGGGAUAACGUCCGGAAACGGGCGCUAAUACCGCAUACGUCCUGAGGGAGAAAGUGGGGGAUCUUCGGACCUCACGCUAUCAGAUGAGCCUAGGUCGGAUUAGCUAGUUGGUGGGGUAAAGGCCUACCAAGGCGACGAUCCGUAACUGGUCUGAGAGGAUGAUCAGUCACACUGGAGCUGAGACACGGUCCAGACUCCUACGGGAGGCAGCAGUGGGGAAUAUUGGACAAUGGGCGAAAGCCUGAUCCAGCCAUGCCGCGUGUGUGAAGAAGGUCUUCGGAUUGUAAAGCACUUUAAGUUGGGAGGAAGGGCAGUAAGUUAAUACCUUGCUGCUUUGACGUUACCAACAGAAUAAGCACCGGCUAACUUCGUG
rnacentral:rRNA from 1 species